CUUUGGUUUAAGGAAUAUAAACCUUUGAAUUUUCGCAAAAAAUUAAUUAAAUUCUUUCUAAAAUAAUAUAUUUAAUUAAUUUUAAACUCUUAAAUUGUAUCAAUUAAAUUUAUUAAGCAACAUUCUUUUGUCUUGAACUGUUAUAAGACUGACGUGGCUAUUAAUGGUGCUGGCAUGAAGCUCCAUGUCACUAUCAAAAAGAAAUUCAAAAGCUUUAAAAAAAAUUAAAAUUAAAAGAAAUGUUUAAACCUUGAUAAAUGUUUGUUUAGGCUCCUUCAUUUCAAAUCUUAGGGUCUAUUUGAUAGGGGGAAAAUAUUUUCCGGAAUUAGUUUUCUCCAUUUUUCAGUGUUUGAUUGGAGGAAAAUGAAUUCCACAAGGAAAACCUUUUACAAACACGGGUAAAAUCACUUCCUUAGUUUUGGAAAACGUCUUAUCGAUUUUCCUUCCGUAAGACAUUUUCCAUUCCCUUCUCUACACUCUCAUCGUCUCAGCUUCAAAAUUUUCUUUGUAGACUUUCUUUAGAAAGGUAUGUUUUCUAUUUCCACUUUCAUUUCUACUCAUUUUCUGUGGCUUCUCCCAUUCCAAUCCAUUCUUCAUUUCGAUUCCCUCAAUCCUUCCCGCUCUUACCCUGUACCCGAAUUUCAAUCCAUUCUUCAUUCUCAUUGAAUUAUUUCUGUUGGUGAAUUAAUGCAAUUUCCAGGCUUCUACGUGAUGGGUUUAUUUGGAUUUAAAAACAUGUUGGAAGAAGCCAAGUCAUGAACACUUAAAAGUUGGUGAUAAAGAAAGGAUUCAUGUAUAUUAUGCACAUGGUGAAGAUAACUCAACCUUUAUUCGCAGGUGUUAUUGGCUGCUAGAUAAGUCUUUGGAGCAAAUAGUUCUUCUUCAUUAUCGUGAAACAAAGGAGUUUGGUGUUUACUACAAACAAAAAACUUUGAGAUACCAUUCCCGAAUAAAGCAGUCUUUUAUGUUUCUUCCUACUCAGAACCAGUUUGUGAAUGAUGUUUGUGGAUUUGUGCUACAAACAAUUGCAGGUUUCACUAGCCACACAUUCAAAUUCGAGUUCGUUAACAGAUCAGUCUACUCCUUUGCUUGUUACAGAAGAGUUUGAUUUUGGAAUUGCUAAUACAUAUUUUGAAGGUGAGAGGAGUCUAGGUGAUGUUGAAAUUUUCCAGAGAUUAAUCAUGUGAACAAAUACAUCAUGUUCUCAUUAAAUGCUAUCGUGGAAAGUGAACAGAACCAGGUGAGAGUGUUAAUGUUAGAAAUCAUGAAAUGAAGCUUCUUGAGAUUAAUACACUUGAAUGGGAUGAGCUUCUGGUGGGAAAUGGUGCUAAUGAUUCGAUUGCAUCUAGAGGAGGUAUUGUAUUAGUUUCCAGCAUAAGCAGUAACACUUAUUUAGUUGCUGAACUGUUGACAUAUUUUGGUAUAGCAGACAAUGUUUCUUGCUUUGACCAACAGAACCAAAUGGCAGUAAAUGACUUCUCAAAUUAUGUAAGCAGAACCAUUUCCUAGUUCUUAAGUUCUUAUAUAUUUUAAAUUUGCUUUUGUUAGUUUUUCUUUUCUUUUCUUAUCAGGCAACCUGUUAGGGUUGUAUGUUGGCUAAUAGCUUCUUUGCAUGCCUGUAAUACUGAAAGACUUUAUGCAUGUUGUGUAAAAGGCAGAAACUGAAAAGAUGGACUUUAAACUAA